UAACCGAAGGCAACCCAACAGCGGUAUUCUGCGUCGGGUGAACAUGGCGACCUGAACACGAAUUUUCGAAAUAGACCAUGGACGGUCGAAAAUUGCUGAAAUUUUCUAUAGACGUCGUGCCACACGACUUGAUGGCUAAGAGUGCCGGAGAUGUGGUCCCCGAUAUUCGUGGAAAAUCUCUCUCGCUGGAAUUUUUUGUACGGAGACAGUUGUCUUACGAGUUUGACAGCUUCCCCCUGCCAGGUACCAAGAUGGACAGACGCAGAGGCUGCAGAUCAGCGGGCAUAACAGUGUCUGCGCCCUUCCACCACUUGCAGGCGUCGGACUGCAACCAACUCCACAGUAAGCACCAGUAUACGUAUUUCUGGUUCAUCAGCUCCACCAGAUUUGGAAUCGGGCGUCGGACUUUCAGUAAAAACUGACGAUGUGUCGAAAUGUUUCACAGGACCUCGGACUUGUACGAAAUUUGCGCAGAAAUACGAAGAUCAAGAACAGUUGAACAUCUGAAGAUAGUGUAAACUAUAACGUUUGCUGAAUGAUUCAUUCAUUCAUUCAUUCAAUGGAAAUUAAGAAUUAGCAACUGCCAGCAAGAUGGCGCUGUGCGUGUUCUCGUUGGAGAGGAAGCGAAGACAGACCAGUAGGCCGUGAAACAAGACAGCAAACGCCAGUGCACUUAAGUGAGUGAGAAGGAAGUGUAUACAUUUAAAAAAAAUAAAACAAAAGAACAAAUAAUAAAAAUAAUAAAGACAGCCGCAUGAAGAGGUGUGGUGUGAUAUGAUUGGUGGGCCGGGAUGCAAACAUUUAACCAAUCGGUGACUCCGUAUUUCGGUAAUGGGGAGGAGUCACCAAGCGAGGUCUUAUUAAGUGUCCUUUAUUGAGAACUGCAUUGUAGUUUGUACUCAGUACCAGCCGGGUAACGCCCAAACCAUAAUAUUUUAGCUUCAGGGGCGCCUUCCGUCCUUUAACCUUGACGUGCGUUGAGGUUUCUCCACAUUACGUAAACACGCACGCCUAAACUUUGUUCAGCCGAAUUCUGAUUCUGCCACAUCCCACCUUGCUUGCAGAAUAGUCGAUUUCACUUUGCAAAUUCAUGUCAUUUCCACAUUUCAGUUACAUAAUGAGUCCUCACAGCCAGUCCGUUAUGUUGGUGUGCAUGCUGGCAAAUACAAGGUAUAAAUAUAGAACGUUGUCCAAUACCACGACCUUCAUACCAUGUUAAUAAAAAGUUAAUUUGUAAGGAAGGUGUUGAAGCUUUCACGGUAAGAAUGUGAAGAAAUUAUUUCAUUAUCGAAUCUUGCUUACGUAGAAGACGAUAUUUAAUUGCAUUUACAACAAAUUUUACACCACAUAUUAAAAUCGGCAUCUUCCUACAACAAUAAAGGUCU